rnacentral:rRNA from 1 species
GGGCUUCACACGUCAUACAAUGGUGCAUACAGAGGGUUGCCAAGCCGCGAGGUGGAGCCAAUCCCAGAAAAUGCAUCGUAGUCCGGAUCGUAGUCUGCAACUCGACUACGUGAAGCUGGAAUCGCUAGUAAUCGCGGAUCAGCAUGCCGCGGUGAAUA